ACACUCCUACGGGAGGCAGCAGUGGGGAAUCUUGCGCAAUGGGCGAAAGCCUGACGCAGCCAUGCCGCGUGAAUGAUGAAGGUCUUAGGAUUGUAAAAUUCUUUCACCGGGGACGAUAAUGACGGUACCCGGAGAAGAAGCCCCGGCUAACUUCGUGCCAGCAGCCGCGGUAAUACGAAGGGGGCUAGCGUUGCUCGGAAUUACUGGGCGUAAAGGGAGCGUAGGCGGACAUUUAAGUCAGGGGUGAAAUCCCGGGGCUCAACCUCGGAAUUGCCUUUGAUACUGGGUGUCUUGAGUAUGAGAGAGGUGUGUGGAACUCCGAGUGUAGAGGUGAAAUUCGUAGAUAUUCGGAAGAACACCAGUGGCGAAGGCGACACACUGGCUCAUUACUGACGCUGAGGCUCGAAAGCGUGGGGAGCAAACAGGAUUAGAAACCCUGGUAGUCCCAUGA
rnacentral:rRNA from 1 species